rnacentral:rRNA from 1 species
CUAUGCUAAUGAAAUUUAAUCUUUAUUUUUGUUGGGGCAUGAAGUUUUUUUGUUGGUUUUAUGAAUUUUAGGUAAAAUUAAAAUUUAUAUUUAGAGGUUUUUAUGUCAUUAAGAUUUUUGAAGGCGAAUUAGAUUAGUACCUAAUUAGUGAAAAAUUAAAUGUUCAGGAGUAAAGUGGUAUUUAAACUGAAAGAAUAUUGGCAGAUUUUCUAAAUUAUCUUUGGAGGUUGAGUGAUAAUUGAGAACCCUCAUUAACUACUUGGUUUUUUGGCUUAUGUAUGAUCGUUUAUUUUAAGCUUAAGGUUUAGGAUUUUAGGUUUUGACUGUAAAAAUAGAUAUAUAUUUAGUUUAUGAUUAAGUUAAUUUGACCUACAAUAUUUUGAAUUGUGUGGAUUAUUAAAUUAGUAUUAGUAUGAAAUUGUAAAAGACAGUAAGAAAGUUUUUAUAUCUUUUUGAAGAGUAUUUAGAAAUGGC